CCUCAGGCGGGGGAUAACCUUCCCCUUCUAGAAGGCUAAUACCGCAUAUGACCACGGCCUCCAAAGAGGCUGAGGCAAAAGCAGGCCUCUGCACGCAAGCUUGCACCUGAGGAUCGGCCCGCGCCCCAUCACCUAGUUGGUAGGGUAACGGCCUACCAAGGCAAAGACGGGUAGCUGGUCUGAGAGGAUGAUCAGCCACACUGGAACUGAGACACGGUCCAGACUCCUACGGGAGGCAGCAGUGGGGAAUCUUGCGCAAUGGGCGAAAGCCUGACGCAGCGACGCCGCGUGGGUGAUGAAGGCCUUCGGGUUGUAAAGCCCUGUGGGGAGAGACGAAUAAGUCGGAGCUAAUACCUCCGGCGAUGACGGUAUCUCCUUAGCAAGCACCGGCUAACUCUGUGCCAGCAGCCGCGGUAAGACAGAGGGUGCAAACGUUUGUUCGGAAUUACUGGGCGUAAAGCGUGUGUAGGCGGGCCUUGCAAGUCGGAUGUGAAAGCCCCCGGGCUCAACCCGGGAAGUGCACCCGAUACUGCUGGGCUCGAGUACCCGGAGAGGGUUGGUGGAAUUUCUCGGUGUAGAGGUGAAAUUC
rnacentral:rRNA from 1 species